GUGAGGAAUUUUCCGCAAUGGGCGCAAGCCUGAUCCAGCCAUGCCGCGUGUGUGAUGAAGGCCUUAGGGUUGUAAAGCACUUUUGUCCGGGAAGAUAAUGACUGUACCGGAAGAAUAAGCCCCGGCUAACUUCGUGCCAGCAGCCGCGGUAAUACGAAGGGGGCUAGCGUUGCUCGGAAUCACUGGGCGUAAAGGGCGCGUAGGCGGACUCUUAAGUCGGGGGUGAAAGCCCAGGGCUCAACCCUGGAAUUGCCUUCGAUACUGAGAGUCUUGAGUUCGGAAGAGGUUGGUGGAACUGCGAGUGUAGAGGUGAAAUUCGUAGAUAUUCGCAAGAACACCAGUGGCGAAGGCGGCCAACUGGUCCGAUACUGACGCUGAGGCGCGAAAGCGUGGGGAGCAAACAGGAUUAGAAACCCUGGUAGUCC
rnacentral:rRNA from 1 species